GAUCAUAGGCUCAGGAUGAACGCUAGCUACAGGCUUAACACAUGCAAGUCGAGGGGCAUCAGUUUGGUUUGCUUGCAAACCAAAGCUGGCGACCGGCGCACGGGUGAGUAACACGUAUCCAACCUACCUCAUACUCGGGGAUAGCCUUUCGAAAGAAAGAUUAAUAUCCGAUAGCAUAUAUUUCCCGCAUGGGUUUUAUAUUAAAGAAAUUCGGUAUGAGAUGGGGAUGCGUUCCAUUAGUUUUGGG
rnacentral:rRNA from 1 species